UACAGAGGGGGCAAGCGUUGUUCGGAAUUACUGGGCGUAAAGGGCGCGUAGGCGGCCUGCUAAGUCGAACGUGAAAUCCCUGGGCUCAACCCAGGAACUGCGUCCGAUACUGGUUGGCUUGAAUCCGGGAGAGGGACGUGGAAUUCCAGGUGUAGCGGUGAAAUGCGUAGAUAUCUGGAGGAACACCGGUGGCGAAGGCGGCAUCCUGGACCAACACUGACGCUGAGGAGCGAAAGCCAGGGGAGCAAACGGG
rnacentral:rRNA from 1 species